CCUACGGGUGGCAGCAGUGAGGAAUAUUGGUCAAUGGGCGCGAGCCUGAACCAGCCAAGUAGCGUGAAUGAUGACUGCUCUACGGGUUGUAAACUUCUUUUAUAAAGGAAUAAAGUGAGGCACGUAUGCCUUUUUGUAUGUCUUUUAUGAAUAAGGAUCGGCUAACUCCGUGCCAGCAGCCGCGGUAAUACGGAGGAUCCGAGCGUUAUCCGGAGUUAUUGGGUUUAAAGGGAGCGUAGAUGGGUUGUUAAGUUAGUUGUGAAAGUUUGCGGCUCAACCGUGAAAUUGCAAUUGAUACUGGCAGACUUGAGUACAGUUGAGGUAAGUGGAAUUCGUGGUGUAGCGGUGAAAUGCUUAGAUAUCACGAAGAACUCCGAUUGCGAAGGCAGCCUACUAAACUGCAACUGACAUUGAUGCUCGAAAGUGUGGGGAUCAAACAGGAUUAGAUACCCUAGUAGUC
rnacentral:rRNA from 1 species